GAUGAACGCUGGCGGCGUGCCUAACACAUGCAAGUCGAGCGAACAGACGAGGCGCUUGCUCCUCGGACGUUAGCGGCGGACGGGUGAGUAACACGUGGAUAACCCACCUAUAAGUCUGGGAUCACUUGGAGAAACCGGAGCUAAUAGCGGGUAAGAUAUUGAACCGCAUGGGUCAAUAGUGAAAGACGGUUGUGCUGUCACUUAUAGCUGGAUACGCGCCGCAUUAGGUAGUUGGUAAGGUAACGGCCUACCAAGGCAACGAGGCGUAGCCGACCGGAUAGGGUGGUCGGCCACCCUGGAACGUGAACAGGGUCCAGGCUCCUGCGGUAGGCAGCAGUAGGGUAUCUUCCGCAAUAGGCGAGAACCUUACGGAGCGACGCCGAGUGAGAGAUAGAGGUCUUCGGAUCGUAAUACUCUGUUAUUAGGGGAAAACAGAUGUGUACGUAGCUAUGCACGUCUUGACGGUACCUAAUCAGAAAGCCCCGGCUAACUACGUG
rnacentral:rRNA from 1 species